rfam:Laribacter hongkongensis HLHK9, complete genome.
CGCCGAGGGGCGCUGCAAGGUGAAGGUCUACCCCAGGCUCGGCUUGAAUUUGCAACGGCGCUCACCCACA